CACGGAUGGAACUGCGUUAUGAUUAAUAAAUAGGCAUUAAGCGUGAUUAGGUGGUUAUUUAUAACUAGAGUGAAAAAGGAAGAAUUAGGGGAAUAGCUAAAGGAAGGAUGAAAUCUAUAGAUAUUAGCUGGAACACCAACGGCGACAGCACCAUUCUACAAUUUCACUGACACUGAUUCACUAAAGUGUGGGGAGCGAAAUGG
rnacentral:rRNA from 1 species